rnacentral:lncRNA from 1 species
CACGGAGGCCGCCCGCCAAGUCUGGGGCCAUUCCGAGUCCCGCGGACGAACUUCGCCCACGCCCCCCACCAAGGCUAUAGCCCACCCGUUUCUUGGCCAUUUUUCCGCUGGGGGGUCUUGGGACCCCGACCUUCGGGGGCUGAUUUUUGGGCGCGGCUGUGCCCGUGGCCUAUUUUUGGCGCACGGAGGCCGCCCGCCAAGUCUGGGGCCAUUCCGAGUCCCGCGGACGAACUUCGCCCACGCCCCCCACCAAGGCUAUAGCCCACGCGUUUCUUGGCCUUUUUUCCGCUGGGGGGUCUUGUGACUCCGACCUUCGGGGGCUGAUUUUUGGGCGCGGCUGUGCCCGUGGCCUAUUUUUGGCACACGGAGGCCGCCCGCCAAGUCUGGGGCCAUUCCGAGUCCCGCGGACGAACUUCGCCCACGCCCCCCACCAAGGCUAUAGCCCACGCGUUUCUUGGCCUUUUUUCCGCUGGGGGGUCUUGGGACCCCGACCUUCGGGGGCUGAUUUUUGGGCGCGGCUGUGCCCGUGGCCUAUUUUUGGCACACGGAGGCCGCCCGCCAAGUCUGGGGCCAUUCCGAGUCCCGCGGACGAACUUCGCCCACGCCCCCCACCAAGGCUAUAGCCCACCCGUUUCUUGGCCAUUUUUCCGCUGGGGGGUCUUGGGACCCCGACCUUCGGGGGCUGAUUUUUGGGCGCGGCUGUGCCCGUGGCCUAUUUUUGGCUCACGGAGGCCGCCCGCCAAGUCUGGGGCCAUUCCGAGUCCCGCGGACGAACUUCGCCCACGCCCCCCACCAAGGCUAUAGCCCACGCGUUUCUUGGCCAUUUUUCCGCUGGGGGGUCUUGGGACCCCGACCUUCGGGGGCUGAUUUUUGGGCGCGGCUGUGCCCGUGGCCUAUUUUUGGCACACGGAGGCCGCCCGCCAAGUCUGGGGCCAUUCCGAGUCCCGCGGACGAACUUCGCCCACGCCCCCCACCAAGGCUAUAGCCCACCCGUUUUUUGGCCAUUUUUCCGCUGGGGGGUCUUGGGACCCCGACCUUCGGGGGCUGAUUUUUGGGCGCGGCUGUGCCCGUGGCCUAUUUUUGGCACACGGAGGCCGCCCGCCAAGUAUGGUGCCAUUCCGAGUCCCGCGGACGAACUUCGCCCACGCCCCCCACCAAGGCUAUAGCCCACGCGUUUCUUGGCCUUUUUUCCGCUGGGGGGUCUUGUGACCCCGACCUUCGGGGGCUGAUUUUUGGGCGCGGCUGUGCCCGUGGCCUAUUUUUGGCACACGGAGGCCGCCCGCCAAGUCUGGGGCCAUUCCGAGUCCCGCGGACGAACUUCGCCCACGCCCCCCACCAAGGCUAUAGCCCACGCGUUUCUUGGCCUUUUUUCCGCUGGGGGGUCUUGGGACCCCGACCUUCGGGGGCUGAUUUUUGGGCGCGGCUGUGCCCGUGGCCUAUUUUUGGCACACGGAGGCCGCCCGCCAAGUCUGGGGCCAUUCCGAGUCCCGCGGACGAACUUCGCCCACGCCCCCCACCAAGGCUAUAGCCCACCCGUUUCUUGGCCAUUUUUCCGCUGGGGGGUCUUGGGACCCCGACCUUCGGGGGCUGAUUUUUGGGCGCGGCUGUGCCCGUGGCCUAUUUUUGGCACACGGAGGCCGCCCGCCAAGUCUGGGGCCAUUCCGAGUCCCGCGGACGAACUUCGCCCACGCCCCCCACCAAGGCUAUAGCCCACGCGUUUCUUGGCCAUUUUUCCGCUGGGGGGUCUUGGGACCCCGACCUUCGGGGGCUGAUUUUUGGGCGCGGCUGUGCCCGUGGCCUAUUUUUGGCACACGGAGGCCGCCCGCCAAGUCUGGGGCCAUUCCGAGUCCCGCGGACGAACUUCGCCCACGCCCCCCACCAAGGCUAUAGCCCACCCGUUUCUUGGCCAUUUUUCCGCUGGGGGGUCUUGGGACCCCGACCUUCGGGGGCUGAUUUUUGGGCGCGGCUGUGCCCGUGGCCUAUUUUUGGCACACGGAGGCCGCCCGCCAAGUCUGGGGCCAUUCCGAGUCCCGCGGACGAACUUCGCCCACGCCCCCCACCAAGGCUAUAGCCCACGCGUUUCUUGGCCAUUUUUCCGCUGGGGGGUCUUGGGACCCCGACCUUCGGGGGCUGAUUUUUGGGCGCGGCUGUGCCCGUGGCCUAUUUUUGGCACACGGAGGCCGCCCGCCAACUCUGGGGCCAUUCCGAGUCCCGCGGACGAACUUCGCCCACGCCCCCCACCAAGGCUAUAGCCCACCCGUUUUUUGGCCAUUUUUCCGCUGGGGGGUCUUGGGACCCCAACCUUCGGGGGCUGAUUUUUGGGCGCGGCUGUGCCCGUGGCCUAUUUUUGGCACACGGAGGCCGCCCGCCAAGUAUGGUGCCAUUCCGAGUCCCGCGGACGAACUUCGCCCACGCCCCCCACCAAGGCUAUAGCCCACGCGUUUCUUGGCCUUUUUUCCGCUGGGGGGUCUUGUGACCCCGACCUUCGGGGGCUGAUUUUUGGGCGCGGCUGUGCCCGUGGCCUAUUUUUGGCACACGGAGGCCGCCCGCCAAGUCUGGGGCCAUUCCGAGUCCCGCGGACGAACUUCGCCCACGCCCCCCACCAAGGCUAUAGCCCACGCGUUUCUUGGCCUUUUUUCCGCUGGGGGGUCUUGUGACCCCGACCUUCGGGGGCUGAUUUUUGGGCGCGGCUGUGCCCGUGGCCUAUUUUUGGCACACGGAGGCCGCCCGCCAAGUCUGGGGCCAUUCCGAGUCCCGCGGACGAACUUCGCCCACGACCCCACCAAGGCUAUAGCCCACCCGUUUCUUGGCCAUUUUUCCGCUGGGGGGUCUUGGGACCCCGACCUUCGGGGGCUGAUUUUUGGGCGCGGCUGUGCCCGUGGCCUAUUUUUGGCACACGGAGGCCGCCCGCCAAGUCUGGGGCCAUUCCGAGUCCCGCGGACGAACUUCGCCCACGCCCCCCACCAAGGCUAUAGCCCACCCGUUUCUUGGCCAUUUUUCCGCUGGGGGGUCUUGGGACCCCGACCUUCGGGGGCUGAUUUUUGGGCGCGGCUGUGCCCGUGGCCUAUUUUUGGCACACGGAGGCCGCCCGCCAAGUCUGGGGCCAUUCCGAGUCCCGCGGACGAACUUCGCCCACGCCCCCCACCAAGGCUAUAGCCCACGCGUUUCUUGGCCAUUUUUCCGCUGGGGGGUCUUGGGACCCCGACCUUCGGGGGCUGAUUUUUGGGCGCGGCUGUGCCCGUGGCCUAUUUUUGGCACACGGAGGCCGCCCGCCAAGUCUGGGGCCAUUCCGAGUCACGCGGACGAACUUCGCCCACGCCCCCCACCAAGGCUAUAGCCCACCCGUUUUUUGGCCAUUUUUCCGCUGGGGGGUCUCGUGACCCCGACCUUCGGGGGCUGAUUUUUGGGCGCGGCUGUGCCCGUGGCCUAUUUUUGGCACACGGAGGCCGCCCGCCAAGUAUGGUGCAAUUCCGAGUCCCGCGGACGAACUUCGCCCACGCCCCCCACCAAGGCUAUAGCCCACCCGUUUCUUGGCCUUUUUUCCGCUGGGGGGUCUUGGGACCCCGACCUUCGGGGGCUGAUUUUUGGGCGCGGCUGUGCCCGUGGCCUAUUUUUGGCACACGGAGGCCGCCCGCCAAGUCUGGGGCCAUUCCGAGUCCCGCGGACGAACUUCGCCCACGCCCCCCACCAAGGCUAUAGCCCACGCGUUUCUUGGCCUUUUUUCCGCUGGGGGGUCUUGGGACCCCGACCUUCGGGGGCUGAUUUUUGGGCGCGGCUGUGCCCGUGGCCUAUUUUUGGCACACGGAGGCCGCCCGCCAAGUCUGGGGCCAUUCCGAGUCCCGCGGACGAACUUCGCCCACGCCCCCCACCAAGGCUAUAGCCCACGCGUUUCUUGGCCUUUUUUCCGCUGGGGGGUCUUGGGACCCCGACCUUCGGGGGCUGAUUUUUGGGCGCGGCUGUGCCCGUGGCCUAUUUUUGGCACACGGAGGCCGCCCGCCAAGUCUGGGGCCAUUCCGAUUCCCGCGGACGAACUUCGCCCACGCCCCCCACCAAGGCUAUAGCCCACCCGUUUCUUGGCCAUUUUUCCGCUGGGGGGUCUUGGGACCCCGACCUUCGGGGGCUGAUUUUUGGGCGCGGCUGUGCCCGUGGCCUAUUUUUGGCACACGGAGGCCGCCCGCCAAGUCUGGGGCCAUUCCGAGUCCCGCGGACGAACUUCGCCCACGCCCCCCACCAAGGCUAUAGCCCACGCGUUUCUUGGCCAUUUUUCCGCUGGGGGGUCUUGGGACCCCGACCUUCGGGGGCUGAUUUUUGGGCGCGGCUGUGCCCGUGGCCUAUUUUUGGCACACGGAGGCCGCCCGCCAAGUCUGGGGCCAUUCCGAGUCCCGCGGACGAACUUCGCCCACGCCCCCCACCAAGGCUAUAGCCCACGCGUUUCUUGGCCUUUUUUCCGCUGGGGGGUCUUGUGACCCCGACCUUCGGGGGCUGAUUUUUGGGCGCGGCUGUGCCCGUGGCCUAUUUUUGGCACACGGAGGCCGCCCGCCAAGUCUGGGGCCAUUCCGAGUCCCGCGGACGAACUUCGCCCACGCCCCCCACCAAGGCUAUAGUCUACGCGUUUCUUGGCCUUUUUUCUGGUGGGGGGUCUCGUGACCCCGACCUUCGGGGGCUGAUUUUUGGGCGCGGCUGUGCCCGUGGCCUAUUUUUCGCACACGGAGGCCACCCGCCAAGUCUGGGGCCAUUCCGAGUCCCGCGGACGAACUUCGCCCACGCCCCCCACCAAGGCUAUAGCCCACGCGUUUCUUGGCCUUUUUUCCGCUGG